rnacentral:misc_RNA from 1 species
UGUCUCUGCUUCCUCGACUUUGAAGGGUUCAUCAACCUUACCAGAAUCAGUUGAGAGAAACCUCGCAUUCCUGGAUGCAGCUAUUGUACCGUUUUGGAAAAAUAAAGAAAAGUCUCAGAGAACUUCACAUCCCCGCACUUGGUGACACUACAAACUUCAAUCUCUCAUGACCAAAAUGCAAAAGAUCAAAACCGUAGAAAAUCCAGUUUCAUUUCAAUUUCCCUCAAUUUUGCCAUCGCUAAUGCGCACCCAAAAUCUAAUUUCUACGAUAUUCGCCACAUUCAAUCAUAAUACCUAAGCAAAUUCAAUGUAACUCUAAAUUGGCAUCUCCACAACAAUAUCUAUGAAUAAAAUUUCCAAAAAGAAGGAACUAAAGAGCGACAAGAAAGAGCAUACCAUAGCCUGGAGAGGGAUGAUCUUGAAUGGAUCAACCGCGACACAACCGCCGUCAUUUGAUAUAUCUGAUAAUGUCUUUUCUUAAACUUGUCUGAUCAACGACGAGAGCUUAGGCUUUUCAAGGGCUUGCUUUGAGCUCCAGGCCUCCAGCUUCUGUGCUUUGGUAUUCCGCUACUAGAAAAGGAGAAAAAUCAUUCCCGUCCACAUGGCGCAUAAUGAAGCUGACAGGUCGCCAUGGCAGACGUAUACGGUUUUGAUUAGGGACGGACAGAUCUGUGAUCCAAAUUCCAAAUCGAGUGGGAUUCAUUCCACUUAGCCCAGUGUUGAGCACCCUGCGACACCGGAAAGUUUUGCCUUAUCAGGAGCUCCGCUGACAAAACCG